UACGUAGGGUGAGAGCGUUAAUCGGAAUUACUGGGCGUAAAGCGUGCGCAGGCGGCGCGUUAAGACAGGUGUGAAAGCCCCGAGCUUAACUUGGGAAUUGCGCUUGUGACUGGCGUGCUGGAGUGUGGCAGAGGGAGGUGGAAUUCCACGUGUAGCAGUGAAAUGCGUAGAGAUGUGGAGGAACACCGAUGGCGAAGGCAGCCUCCUGGGCCAGCACUGACGCUCAUGCACGAAAGCGUGGGGAGCAAACAGG
rnacentral:rRNA from 1 species